CCGGGAAUCUUGCGCAAUGGGCGAAAGCCUGACGCAGCAACGCCGCGUGAGUGAUGAAGGUCUUCGGAUCGUAAAGCUCUGUUGUUGGGGACGAAGGGCGAAGGGUUAAUAGCCUCUAGCCUGACGGUACCCUUCGAGGAAGCCCCGGCCAACUACGUGCCAGCAGCCGCGGUAAUACGAAGGGGGCAAGCGUUGUCCGGAAUCAUUGGGCGUAAAGGGCGCGUAGGCGGCCUGGUAAGUCUGCUGUGAAAUCCUGGGGCUCAACCCCAGGCUUGCAGUGGAAACUGCCCGGCUAGAGGAUGGUAGAGGCGAGUGGAAUUCCCGGUGUAGCGGUGAAAUGCGCAGAUAUCGGGAGGAACACCAGUAGCGAAGGCGGCUCGCUGGGCCAUUCCUGACGCUGAGGCGCGAAAGCGAGGGGAGCGAACAGGAUUAGAUACCCCUGUAGUCC
rnacentral:rRNA from 1 species